rnacentral:rRNA from 1 species
AGAGUUUGAUCCUGGCUCAGGACGAACGCUGGCGGCGUGCCUAAUACAUGCAAGUAGAACGCUGAAGAGAGGAGCUUGCUCUUCUUGGAUGAGUUGCGAACGGGUGAGUAACGCGUAGGUAACCUGCCUUGUAGCGGGGGAUAACUAUUGGAAACGAUAGCUAAUACCGCAUAACAAUGGAUGACACAUGUCAUUUAUUUGAAAGGGGCAAUUGCUCCACUACAAGAUGGACCUGCGUUGUAUUAGCUAGUAGGUGAGGUAAUGGCUCACCUAGGCGACGAUACAUAGCCGACCUGAGAGGGUGAUCGGCCACACUGGGACUGAGACACGGCCCAGACUCCUACGGGAGGCAGCAGUAGGGAAUCUUCGGCAAUGGGGGCAACCCUGACCGAGCAACGCCGCGUGAGUGAAGAAGGUUUUCGGAUCGUAGAGCUCUGUUGUAAGUCAAGAACGGGUGUGAGAGUGGAAAGUUCACACUGUGACGAUAGCUUACCAGAAAGGGACGGCUAACUACGUGCCAGCAGCCGCGGU